UGAGGUCAGGCAAGGAAAGAAGUCUUUAAGAAAAGCUGGAAGGGACAGAAAUAUUGACAAGACAACCCUACAAAGAUUCAUAAAGAAAAAAGAGAAAGGGCAAGUAAAAUCAGUAGCCUGGAGUGCAGUAGCUGAGGCAAAGAGAAUAUUCACAGAUGAGAUGGAGGAGGAGCUUGCUAAACACUUGAAACAACUAGCUGACCAGUUCCACGGCCUUCCUCCAGUUAAGUGCCGUGAACUGGCAUUUGAAUACGCAAAGAGAAACAAUAUCCCUGUUCCAGCCAAUUGGACAGAGAAACAAUGUGCAGGAAUAGAGUGGUUUCGGAGGUUUCUUGCAUGUUGCCAUCUGUCUGUCCAAACUCCAGAGGCAACAUCCCUGGGAAGGGCUACAGCCUUCAAUAAAACUACAGUAGGGGAGUUCUUCAACAAUCUGGCUGUAGUGAUGGACAGGUGACACUUUUUUAGUUGCAAAUGUUUUAAGUUAGCUUUACCCGUAAGAUUUGUUUUGAAUUCUGAUAAGGUUUUUUUUUUUGCCUCUCCUCUUUCAUAGGCACACAUUCCCUCCACACAUGAUUUACAAUGUAGAUUAAACCGGCGUCUUUACAGUUCAAAAGCCACGACAGGUAAGCUACACAUGAUACACAAGAGAGCACCAUACUGAUAUUGAGUGGAUUGUGAUAAUAACAGUGAACCUGUGAGCUGGAAAAAUGAAUGGAAUGAAAUUAAAUACAAUGUACUUUUAGACCAAUAGUAACCUACUGAUUGUACAUUUGUCCCUGAUUCUAGACUUUCUAUCUUGAUUCAGGUUGUGACAGAGAAAGGAAAAGAGCAAGUUGGUUCUAUCACAUCAUCUGAGAGGGGAGAACUAGUGACUGUGGUGUGUGCAGUGAAUGCUGCUGGGAAUGCCAUACCUCCUAUGUUUGUCUUCCCCAGAGUUAGGUUUAAGGAUGACUUCCUGAUAGGAGCAACUCCAGGAGCCAAAGGUGCCUCCACCAGAACAGGAUGGAUGAAUGAAGACAAGUUCCGAUUAUGGGUCCAUGUUCUGAGACCCAGACUGUGCAUUAGCUGGUUCUGCUUGUACUUUGCUCUUGACACCCAGAUACUAGCUAAAGGUCCUGUGUUAUGAUUCUCACACUGUGAAUGUUAAUUAAAACAUUUUGAAGUAUA